GGUCAAGCUACAAAGGGCGCAUGGUGAAUGCCUUGGCAUCAGGAGCCGAUGAAGGACGUGAUAAGCUGCGAUAAGCUUCGGGUAGGCGCACAUAGCCUGAGAUCCGAAGAUUUCCGAAUGAGGAAACUCACAUGGGAAACCCCAUGUAUCAUUAAGUGAAUACAUAGCUUAAUGAAGGUAACCCAGGGAACUGAAACAUCUAAGUACCUGGAGGAAGAGAAAGAAAAAUCGAUUUUCUUAGUAGCGGCGAGCGAAAGGGAAAGAGCCCAAACCGGAAACUUGUUUCCGGGGUUGUGGACAUAACAUAAAAGUGGAGGCUAUUGUAACUGAAGAGAACUGGAAAGUUCCACCGUAGAAGGUAAUAGUCCUGUAAGUGAAACGAGAAGACCACGAGUUAUGAUCCAGAGUACCACGAGACACGUGAAACCUUGUGGGAAGCAGGGAGGACCACCUCCCAAGGCUAAAUACUACCUGAUGACCGAUAGUGAAGCAGUACCGUGAGGGAAAGGUGAAAAGAACCCCGGGAGGGGAGUGAAAUAGAACCUGAAACCGUGUGCCUACAACCGCUCAGAGCCCCUUAUGAGGGUGAUGAGGUGCUUUUUGUAGAACGAGCCAACGAGUUACGGUAUGUAGCAAGGUUAAGUACUUAAGGUACGGAGCCGAAGGGAAACCGAGUCUGAAUAGGGCGACUAGUUGCAUGCCGUAGACCCGAAACCGGGUGACCUAUCCAUGGCCAGGUUGAAGCGAGGGUAAAACCUCGUGGAGGACCGAACCACGUUGCUGUUGAAAAAGCAUGGGAUGAGCUGUGGAUAGCGGAGAAAUUCCAAUCGAACCCGGAGAUAGCUGGUUCUCUCCGAAAUAGCUUUAGGGCUAGCGUCGAGUAUGAGUAGUGGAGGUAGAGCACUGAAUGGGCUAGGGGGCAUAGCGCUUACCGAACCUUAUCAAACUCCGAAUGCCACAUACUUUGAGCUCGGCAGUCAGACUACGAAUGAUAAGAUCCGUGGUCAAAAGGGAAAAAGCCCAGAUCGUCAGCUAAGGUCCCAAAGUGUAAGUUAAGUGGGAAAGGAUGUGAGAUUUCUAAGACAACUAGGAUGUUGGCUUAGAAGCAGCCAUUCAUUAAAAGAGUGCGUAAUAGCUCACUAGUCGAGAGAUCUUGCGCCGAAAAUGUAACGGGGCUAAACUUACCACCGAAGCUACGGGCUUGAACUUAGUUCAAGCGGUAGGAGAGCGUCGUAACCGGGCUGAAGUCGUACCGUAAGGAGCGGUGGACUGGUUACGAGUGAGAAUGUUGGCAUCAGUAGCGAGAUGUGGGUGAGAAUCCCACAGGCCGAAAACCUAAGGUUUCCUCAGGAAGGUUCGUCCGCUGAGGGUUAGUCGGGACCUAAGCCGAGGCCGAAAGGCGUAGGUGAUGGACAACUGGUUGAUAUUCCAGUACCACUACCAUCGUUAUUAUCGAUGGCGUGACGCAGGAGGAUAGUGUGUGCUAGCUAUUGGAUGCUAGUCUAAGCGUUUAGGUAGUGAGAGUAGGCAAAUCCGCUCUCAUAAUGCUGAGGCGUGAUGGGGAAGGUUCCACGGAACCGAAGUACAUGAUUCCACGCUGCCAAGAAAAGCGUCUAGAGAGAGAAGUAGUGCCCGUACCGCAAACCGACACAGGUAGGUGAGGAGAGAAUCCUAAGGCCGGCGGAAGAAUUACAGUUAAGGAACUCGGCAAAUUGACCCCGUAAGUUCGCGAGAAGGGGUGCCUACGAGAGUAGGCCGCAGAGAAUAGGCCCAAGCAACUGUUUAGCAAAAACACAGGUCUCUGCUAAAGCGUAAGCUGAUGUAUAGGGGCUGACGCCUGCCCGGUGCUGGAAGGUUAAGGGGAACACUUAGCGCAAGCGAAGGUGUGAACUUAAGCCCCAGUAAACGGCGGCCGUAACUAUAACGGUCCUAAGGUAGCGAAAUUCCUUGUCAGGUAAGUUCUGACCCGCACGAAUGGCGUAAUGACUUGGGCACUGUCUCAACUGUAAAUCCGGCGAAGUUGUAGUGCGAGUGAAGAUGCUCGCUACCCGCGAUUGGACGGAAAGACCCCGUAGAGCUUUACUGUAGCUUAGCAUUGAGUUUUGGUAUUGUCUGUACAGGAUAGGUGGGAGACUAGGAAGCCAGGGCGUCAGCCUUGGUGGAGUCAACCUUGGGAUACCACCCUGACAGUACUGAAAUUCUAACUGGCGGCCAUGAAUCUGGUCACAGGACAUUGUUAGGUGGGCAGUUUGACUGGGGCGGUCGCCUCCUAAAAAGUAACGGAGGCGCCCAAAGGUUCCCUCAGAACGGUCGGAAAUCGUUCGAAGAGUGCAAAGGCAGAAGGGAGCCUGACUGCGACACCCACAAGUGGAGCAGGGACGAAAGUCGGGCUUAGUGAUCCGGUGGUACCUCGUGGGAGGGCCAUCGCUCAACGGAUAAAAGCUACCUCGGGGAUAACAGGCUGAUCUCCCCAAGAGUCCACAUCGACGGGGAGGUUUGGCACCUCGAUGUCGGCUCGUCGCAUCCUGGGGCUGAAGUAGGUCCCAAGGGUUGGGCUGUUCGCCCAUUAAAGCGGCACGCGAGCUGGGUUCAGAACGUCGUGAGACAGUUCGGUCCCUAUCCGUCGCGGGCGUAGGAAAUUUGAGAGGAGCUGUCCUUAGUACGAGAGGACCGGGAUGGACUGACCUCUGGUGUACCAGUUGUUCCGCCAGGAGCACAGCUGGGUAGCUAAGUCGGGAAUGGAUAAACGCUGAAAGCAUCUAAGCGUGAAGCCAACCUCAAGAUGAGAUUUCCCAUAGCGUAAGCUAGUAAGAUCCCUUGAAGAACACAAGGUUGAUAGGUCGGGGGUGUAAGCAUGGUAACAUGUUCAGCUGACCGAUACUAAUAGAUCGAGGGCUUGACCAA
rnacentral:rRNA from 1 species